GUUUCAUUAUUAUAAAUAGCAUUAAUUGUUAGCGUUAAGAAACAUAGCAGACCUAUUUGCAUAUAUAAUAUGUUUUUGUCUCCAUAGGUCAACUCGAAGCAGUCGUAAAUGCUGGGAUUGGCACAAACCAUGAAAAACGAACAGCCACAGUCAGAACACCUUGGAGCUAGGCUGAAGAAGACGUGGUAGAAAAUGGCCUUAAAAAGUGUUUUAAGCUUAAUACUCCACCUUAAAUAAGUUAGAAUGUCUUGAACUUAUUAAGAAGUAUCCAAUUCUUGCCAGGCGAUCAAGGACAAUGGUGAAAGGGUACAUUAGAACAAGGCAACUGGCCUUGCAAUAGGCUCAUCAAAAAGCAAACAAUUAAACCAAUAGAUACUUUAAAUUAUAGAAUAGACUAGAAUAUUGCAUUUUGAUUUAAGCUUUAUAUCUGAAUACCAUCAGUGAUUGACAUUUUCUUUGGAUAUUGUUCUGUUUUUAUUUAUUUUUUAACAAUUAAAAAUUUGAAAUUGAAUAUGGUAAUAACUUGUCCUCAAUUGGAGGUGAUUUUGCUAAAAUUGUCCAUGAUGUUUGUGGUCAUUUACACUGCAGUGUAUUCAAUUGUUUUUUUGUUCCAUGGUAAAUAAUGGUGUGUGGUAUUGUUUUGUAUUGAAUGCUUCUGUCACUUCUCAGUGAUGUGAUGUUUUUCGUGUUGUUGGAUAAAUUGAUGAAAUGCAAAUGAAAUAUCAUCAUGUAUGAACAUGUCAAACAAAAAUGUAUUAACUUUCUUCUGUUUGCUAUCAAAACGUUAAGUAUUUGUUUGGUUGAAUUGUAUCUAGAGCCAAUGAAUGAAGAUUUGUUUAUUACUGAAAUUUGAUAUGCAUUAAAUUUUGUAAAAGAACAUUUUUCAGAAAAAAGUAUCUUGGUAUUGUGAUAUGCCUUGGUACCUGUCAGGGCUGUGGGCAUCAUGCAGUCUUUUACCUAGGACAGUAACUAAAUCACUUCAUAUUUAAAUAAAACUUGGUUAAGAUGUUGCCAGGGACAAUAUGCAUGUGUACAUCAAGGGGCAUAACUCUGGCUUUAGUUUGUAUUGAGUUAUGCCUCAUUUUC